GGGCUUUUGCCACCCAUCGAGGUCGAUCGGAGAGGCCUUCGCUUUCACCCUGUUCUUGACAGGUUUCAUGCCGGAACGGGGAGAGGUGGGCGCCGAGCUCGGCCUUGCCCCUGACUCGAUUGUCGCCUUCCUCCGAGCCGGCACCUUAGCCGCCCAUGGGAUCCGAGAGUGACUCGUGACCAUGCACGGACCGAAUGCCGGCAACUCCUCCAGUUCAUCAUUUCCCCUAUUCACCUGGCUCGUCGCCAUCGAGGAUUCCAUCCCUGAUGCUUCCUUUCCUUUCUCCCCAAUCUCCCCUUUUUUUGCCGCCUCGACCUCCAGCAAGGAGCAAGCACACUCCAUCACCGCAUGCCCAAUCCUACCGCACCGGAGCAGGGAGCCGGCA
rnacentral:lncRNA from 1 species